rnacentral:rRNA from 1 species
GUAGAGUGGCGAAAGGGCGAGUAAUGCAUUCCUAACGUACCUCAGAGUCGAGGAUAGCUCGGGGAAACCCGAAUUAAUACUCGAUAUACCCAUAGGGUGGCUUCACCUCUUGGGCAAAGGCUUGCUGCUCUGAGAGCGGGGAAUGUCCUAUCAGGUAGUUGGUGAGGUAACGGCUCACCAAGCCUUAGACGGGUAGCGGGUGUGAGAGCACGACCCGCCGCAUCGGGACUGAGACACUGCCCGGACUCCUACGGGAGGCUGCAGUAACGAAUCUUCCGCAAUGCCCGAAAGGGUGACGGAGCAAUGCCGCGUGCGGGAUGAAGCCCCUCGGGGUGUAAACCGCUGUCAGAGGGUACCAACACAAUGAGGACUCUCAGAGGAAGGGCCGGCUAACUUCGUGCCAGCAGCCGCGGUAAUACGAAGGGCCCGAGCGUUAAUCGGAAUCACUGGGCUUAAAGGGUGCGUAGGCGGAUCUGUAAGUGCUUUGUGAAAUCCCACGGCUCAACCGUGGAACUGCUUGGCAGACUGCAGAUCUUGAGGUCGACAGAGGUUGUCGGAACUCUAGGUGGAGCGGUGAAAUGCGUAGAUAUCUAGAGGAACGCCGAAGGUGAAGACAGGCAACUGGGUCGAUUCUGACGCUGAGGCACGAAAGCGUGGGGAGCGAACGGGAUUAGAUACCCCGGUAGUCCACGCCCUAAACGAUGUACACUAGAUCGUGGAGGUUCUGACACUUUCAUGGUCGAAGCAAAAGUGAUAAGUGUACCGCCUGGGGAGUACGGUCGCAAGGCUAAAACUCAAAGGAAUUGACGGGGGCUCACACAAGCGGUGGAGCAUGUGGCUUAAUUCGAGGCAACGCGAAGAACCUUAUCCUGGGCUUGACAUGCACGGAUUAGCUGCCUGAAAGGGCAGUAACACCCUCUGGGUGGAACGUGCACAGGUGCUGCAUGGCUGUCGUCAGCUCGUGUCGUGAGAUGUCGGGUUAAGUCCCUUAACGAGCGAAACCCCUGCCGCUAGUUGCCAACAGGUAAUGCUGGGGACUCUAGCGGGACUGCCGGUGUCAAACCGGAGGAAGGUGGGGAUGACGUCAAGUCCUCAUGGCCUUUAUGCCCAGGGCUGCACACGUGCUACAAUGGCGCGGCACAGAGCGAUGCAAAGCCGUAAGGUAGAGCAAAUCGCAAAAAACGCGCCCCAGUUCAGAUUGAGGUCUGCAACUCGACCUCAUGAAGCCGGAAUCGCUAGUAAUCGCGUAUCAGCUACGACGCGGUGAAUUUGUUCCUGAGCCUUGUACACACCGCCCGUCAAGUCAUGGGAGCCGGGAGCACCCGAAGCCGCCACGAUUCAGUGGUGUCGACGGUGAGCUCGGUGACUGGGACUAAGUCGGAACAAGGUA